UGGCCAUGAAUCGCUGCAUUAGGUUUUCGUAAUCCCCGAAACCCAGACAAACCACUAUGGAAGUGCGGAGGUUCCCUGAUAUCGGCUAGGCAUGUUUUGACCGCAGCACAUUGUGCACAUAUGGAUGGAAUAGAAAACAUACACAAUCAUAAUAUUGCCAUUCUUAGAUUGGUGGAGGAGGUGCCAUUUUCGAGGUACGUAUAUCCCAUUUGUACGAAAGAGCCCCUACGAAAGAGCAACUUCGUCGGCUAUAACCCCCUUGUUGCUGGAUCGGGAGCAUUAAGAUAUAGACGACCACGACGUAAUGCAUUAAUGGAAGUACAAAUGCCAGUGAUUAAGAACGCCGAAUGCAAAAUAGCUUAUUCCAAAUUUCCUAAUGCACCUGAUAUCACUGAUGGUAUAAUAUGCGCCGAACAUGCUCAGGGUGGAGAGGAUUCUUGUACGGCUGACCGCGGCGGACCACUGCUGAUACAACAUGAAUUAACCUCGUAUUUAAUAGGUAUUGUGUCUUAUGCUUAUAAGUGCGGCACAGCUGGGUAUCCCAGCGUUUACACUAGGGUCACAUCGUACCUUGACUUCAUUCUCCAAGCGAUGCAAUAAUAUGAUAUUACUGUUCCAUAAAUAUCAUUGUGUAAAAAACGUAAAGUUGGAUUUUCUUAUUGUGGAGAUAAGAAACAGCUCAAAUUUACAUUGUUUUGUACGUUACAAAUUAUAGGCUUAAAAUGUACGAAAUGUAACUUUGAAACGACACUAAUUUUUUACGCACGAUAAACCUCCACGACUUAGGUAUGUAAAGAUGAUAAACGUAUAUUAAUUCUAUUAAUUUGGUAAUAAUAAACCAACUUUCUGAGAAGUUCUGUAAAUUUCGUUUCUGUUGUAUCAAGAGAAUAAUGGAAUAUUCCACUUAGAUCGUAUACUUCUUGUACGUACGUACAAAAUUUUCCGGCUAAUCUAAAACACUUCAUAAGAUAGAGAGCUUCUGGAAAUUCGGACACAGAGAGUGCAUAAAAUACAAGAUAAGUCUCGUGUCUUUCAAAAUUAUUUUUUAUUCGCUAAAAACGUCCUGUGUACUCAUGCAAUCACAUGCAACCUCGAAACUUCACUUAUUUUUUAUCACUUUC